UAAGGAAUAUUGGUCAAUGGAGGGAACUCUGUACCAGCCAUGCCGCGUGCAGGAAGACGGCUCUCUGGGUUGUAAACUGCUUUUAUUCGGGAAUAAACCUAUUUACGUGUAAAUAGCUGAAUGUACCGAAGGAAUAAGGAUCGGCUAACUCCGUGCUAGCAGCCGCGGUAAUACGGAGGAUGCAAGCGUUAUCCGGAUUUAUUGGGUUUAAAGGGUGCGUAGGCGGCUGAUUAAGUCAGGGGUGAAAGACGGUGGCUCAACCAUCGCAGUGCCCUUGAUACUGAUGAGCUUGAAUACGCUAGAGGUAGGCGGAAUGUGACAAGUAGCGGUGAAAUGCAUAGAUAUGUCGCAGAACACCGAUUGCGAAGGCAGCUUACUAUGGUGUGAUUGGCGCUGAGGCAGGAAAGCGUGGGGAUCAAACA
rnacentral:rRNA from 1 species